UUAGUUAGUUUAAUAUGUUUAUUAUGCACCCCAUACCCAUCCUGUGGGUGGUAGUCAAAAGAUUACAGAGGUACAUAAUUGGUCCAGGGACUGGACUCCAAAGUUUUGAUAGCUGAGCAAGUUACAGAGCUGGGAAAGAAUAUCAAAAGAUCCCAAUGGAAAUAAGCCACAGUGAAUAGCUUUCUUGGGUUAUCCUGGGUUACUAAUCCUCCAGGUUAAUAAUCUGAAUAAAAUUUUUUGCAAAUGGUAGGAACAGGCAUAAGUAAAAGAAAAAAGGGAAGGCAUAAAAACUAAAGUAAGAGUUAUUACAGAACAAACUGUGGAGGUUACGAAAGAAUAGUAGAUAACUAAAGCUGCUUAAAUAAUUUUUUAAUUGCUUACAGGGGCUUGUCAACAAUCUCUUGUUGUGAGAUUUCUGAACUCUGAUUCUGCUGGAAAUAAGGACUACUCGUGAUAUUGGGGCAAACUGAUGACCCAAGGCAAGACACACAUGCAGGAGUUUGUUAAAUAAGUCAACAGAUGUCGCUAAGAUUGUUGAUGGUUGUUGCUCUGCUGCCACUGUUAGGCUUUUUAUAUGAAAAUGAUAAAUGCAUGUGAAUUAAAGGCUUUUUAUGAACUACCAGAUUUUAUUUUGGAACUAGUUGACAAGGAAAGGAGAAGCUGCAAUUAGCUGUUUCAGUUAGCCGUGAUGUUUUUCAAAAUUUAUGUAAAUAUACAAAAUUAAGGCAUUUGAUGUUAUUUUCAUUUUUAUGUACAUGUUUGCACUUCUUGAAGCUGCGCCUUCAAGUUUUAUUUUAAGUACUCUGUCUGUGACAAAUAAGAGGAUAAAUAUCACAAAAAUUUAAGGCUUGUAUAUAUUUUUACAAAAUUAAUAUGUUUAAAAUAUUUAGAUAUUGGACUUUCUGUUGUAUGUUAAUUUAAGAUUCAUCUCCACAAAAUUUAUGAUAACUUUAGGGGCAUAUCUGGAAUUAUUUGCUAGCCCUAAAUUUUUUAUCUAUGUGUGAGGUGGUAUUCAGUCCAAACAGUUGAGCCGAGACCUAAAAUGGAGUCAUGAAAAUUAUGCAUACCAAUAUGUUGUACAAUUUGGUCCCCAAGAUGCCAUUAAGUUGCACUCAGAUUGAGUUAAUAGGCACAUACUAAACCUGUAAGGAUCAUGAUACAUCUGGGCAAUAAGAAGUGAUCAGGUUUGAUAUGAGGAAGAUAAGGGUAGCUCCAGUUCCUUGAAUUAGCAGCCAUUAAAAUUGAAAGAUUUAAUGUUUUCCAAAUAUCCUCUUGAUGCUCUACGAAUUUGUAAGAAUAUUUUUUAAUUGCCCAAGUGUUAAAAUAUGAUUAGAUUUAGUUGCUUCAGGUUUGUAGAUGAAUGGUUCAAAGAACCGACACGUUGUUAAAUUAGACACAUGUGCAACUCUUGGGUAUCUUUAUUGAGGAAACGUUUCACCACACAGUGGCUUCAUCAGUCCAUACAAAGGACAAACUUGAAGAACAGGAGGAGAAUGAGGUAAUCAGUCCCUCAACCUUGAGUCGAUGUGGUCAGUCCAUCAAUCUUGAAUAGAAUGCGGCAUAUGAGCGGUUUAUAAGCUGCUUCUCCGCUCGUAUGCCGCAUUAUAUUCAAGAUUGAUGGACUGACCACAUCAACUCAAGGUUGAGGGACUGAUUACCUCAUUCUCCUCCUGUUCUUCAAGUUUGUCCUUUGUAUGGACUGAUGAAGCCACUGUGUGGUGAAACGUUUCCUCAAUAAAGAUACCCAAGAGUUGCACAUGUGUCUAAUGCUUCAGGUUUGUUUUGUUUAAAUAGGGUUAGGUUUAAUUCAGUUUCAUUUAAAUGCAAAUAGGUAAAGUUUCAUUUCAUUGUGGUUUAAUUGUGAAUUAGGAUUAGGAGUUUAAAAAUUUUGUUUUUUACUUAUAUUUUAAAUAUGAUUAAUUUUUUAAUUUUCUGCAGAUAUGAAUAGCAUUUUCUUUCUUUCUUUCAACACACCGGCCGUAUCCCACCGAGGCGGGGUGGCCCAAAAAGAAAAACGAAAGUUUCUCCUUUUACAUUUAGUAAUAUAAACAGGAGAAGAGGUUACUAGCCCCUUGCUCCCGGCAUUUUAGUCGCCUCUUACAACACGCAUGGCUUACGGAGGAAGAAUUCUGUUCCACUUCCCCAUGGAGAUAAGAGGAAAUAAACAAGAAUAAGAACUAGAAAGGAAAUAGAAGAAAACCCAGAGGGGUGUGUAUAUAUGUGCUUGUACACAUAUGUGUAGUGUGACCUAAGUGUAAGUAGAAGUAGCAAGACAUACCUGAAAUCGUGCAUGUUCAUGAGACAGAAAAAAGGACACCAGCAAUCCUACCAUCGCGUAAAACAAUUACAGGUUUUCGUUUUACACUCACUUGGCAGGACAGUAGUACCUCCCUGGGCGGUUGCUGUAUACCAACCUACUACCUAUUGAAUAGCAUAUUACUUUGGUAAAAUUCAUGCAGUUUUGUUCAGUCUUAAAAUAUAAUGGAGACAUGCAUGCUAUUUGAAAGGUCAUUGAAGUCCUUUAGUUCUAUAAGGAUGCUAUUUGGGAUAACCAGUCAUUUUUAUUAUGGCAGUAAUAAACACUAAAACAACAUAUAUUUUUUUUUAUUCCAAGGAGAUGGAAGAUUCUAGACGAUACAAAUUUUCUGGUUGCAACAUCCUAAGGAUACUUCAAAUGCACUGACAUUAUUGUCAUUUGUAAUGGUAUUCUCGUGUAAUUAAUAUGUUGUGGAUCCACGUAAGACAGUACAUUUCUAGCUCAAGGGGAUUUUGCUGAAAACAUGCAGUCUUGGGGCACUUGUAAAGUUAUUCUUGAAUCUGCAGUAGUCACAUAAAUUUUUUGCUUGAAUUUGUUAGCAAUGUCCAUAACACGUAGCUUGAAGGCAUUAUCAUAUACUUCUUGCAUUUCAUCACUUCAGUUCUCUCUGCAGCUAUGUUUUCCAUCCCCUGGACUUCAGAUACACAUUUUCAGAAGUGUGAUCUGGUGAUCUCCCAUGUGUGCUCAUGCAGUUUGUUUGAAAUGAGUUGCAUGAGGCUACUGCUGGUACAGUUGUACCAUACACUAUUUUAUACACAACCUGCACAGCUUAUGAUGAUGUUUCGGUCCGACUUGGACCAAUUACAGUCACACUGGCUCCAGUCACGGUAUUGUGCCUCUUUUUGUUACUAUUUUAUAACUUGCAAAUAAGCUGGAGCACAAAACGUGUUUCAUUGUUUAGACAGCUACAUGAACUUGUCGGCUUCUUUCAUGUCCACAGUCAACACCACUAGCUCUGUGUACAUAGUCUAGAAAAAAGUACAAAAGCCAACAGGAAAGUACACACCAAACCUUAUCCCCAUCAUUGCCAUUGCAGGAGAAAAUGUAAGACCCGUUGAGGUUGCCAAAACAAAUAGGCAUCAUUUUCGUGUUUUCUAGGACUGCAUUUACCUCCUCUGUCCAGUCAAGAAUACUCCAUUGAACUUUAAAUCUUGUACAACACAUUCUGUGUGUGCCAUCCUAUGGCAGCCAGGCCUGAUGAUAUACAGUAGGCAUCAUGAACAUUGACACCUGUAGGUAUGCCUUUAGCAGACUAUUUAUGCCUGACAUUAGAGAAUGGCCAGAGCAACUUUUGUAUAAAAGACUGUUCCCCUUGCCAUACUCCCAAAGACAUAAAGAAUUAGCUAAAUUAUUGUGAUUUUUCUGUACUUUAAUGACUGGCCUGGAAACUCACUGAACUUAACCCUUUCAGGGUUGGCAGGCCCUCUCCUAAACUUGUUCUCAGGGUCAGAAAUUUUUUGAAAAAAAAAAAAAAAAAAAAUUAUUUUUUUCUCGUGAAAUGAUAGAGAAUCUUUUCCUGAUCAUAAUGACACCAAAAGUAUGAAAUUUGAUGGAAAACCUACGGAAUUAUGCUUUCACGAUUUUGCGAUUUCACCCACUUUGAGCCCUAUUUUCGGCCAAUUCCAAUGUACCAGUGGGAAAAAAUCAUAACUAUUUUGCUAGAACUCCAUUUUUUCUAUCGAAUGAGUACAAGAAACCACCCAUUUACUGAUUUCAACUAUCCAAUUAAGUGGUCCGAAAUUGGGAAUUUUGCCAAUUUCACACAAAUUUCCAAAGAUGCCAUUUUCCAAGUAGGGUCCAGAAUAAACAAGACAGACAUUCCUGGCACUAAAAUAGCAUUUCCUCUGUUCAUUGGUCACAUCCCCAGGCCUCUGUUACAUUUCUUUUGCUUUGCACUUUGAAUUUUUAUUCUCACAAAAAAUAGAAGAUUUACUGUUAUGCAGACUACUGCAUUAGUGUAGAAAUGGUAUAAAUAAUAUCGGCGCACUUGAAAUAAUAUUAGACUCACCAGUUGAUGUGUAUUGGACGCAUGGUUUGAUUUAGAGUGGAACCUCAAAAAUCGAACGUAUCACAUAUCGAACGUUUCGAAAAUAAGACCAUUUUUUCGGACAAACUGUGUUCCUAUUAUCGAAUGCGCCCCUAUUUUCGGACCGCCGGGUACGGGACCUGUCCGUUGGCCCGCUCUCUCCGCGUCCCCGUGCAGGCGCCAUGAGCAGUCUAGCUUUGUUUAUGCUUGAGUGAACACUAACCUGCAAUCUCAUUCACACAUUUUACGAUUAUUUAAUUGUGUUUAGUGCUUGUGGGGCUGUGAAAUAAGCUGCCAUGGGCCCAAAGAAACUUGCUAGCAGUACCCCUGUGGUAAAGAAAGUGAGAAACACCAUAGAUGUGAAGAAGGAAAUAAUACAGAGUAUGAGAUUGGAGUGAGACUUUUUGAGCUUGCCAGGAUGUACUCUAGAGGACUGUGAACAGUUAUUUUGUGAGACAGAAACAGACGACUGUGGACAGUUAUUUUGUGAGAGAAACAGACGACUGUGGACAGUUAUUUUGUGAGACAGAAACAGAUGACUGUGGAGUUAUUUUGUGAGACAGACGAUUGUGGACAGUUAUUUUGUGACACAGAAACAGACAACUGUGGACAGUUAUUUUGUGAGACAGAAACAGACGACUGUGGAGUUAUUUUGUGAGAGACACAGACAACUGUGGAGUUAUUUUGUGAGACAAACAGACGAUUGUGGACAGUUAUUUUGUGAGACAGAAACAGACAACUGUGGACAGUUAUUUUGUGAGACAGAAACAGACGACUAUGGAGUUAUUUUGUGAGAGACACAGACAACUGUGGAGUUAUUUUGUGAGACAAACAGACGAUUGUGGACAGUUAUUUUGUGAGAUAGAAACAGACAACUGUGGAGUUAUUUUGUGAGACAGACGAUUGUGGACAGUUAUUUUGUGAGACAGAAACAGACGACUGUGGACAGUUAUUUUGUGAGACAGAAACAGACACUGUGGAGUUAUUUUGAGACAAACAGACGAUUGUGGACAGUUAUUUUGUGAGACAGAAACAGACGACUGUGGAUAGUUAUUUUGUGAGACAGAAACAGACGACUGUAGACAGUUAUUUUGUGAGACUGGGGUCCAAUGACUCUCAAGCUGGUCCUAGUGACAUUAAAAUACAGAGAAGGGAAGCAACCCCAGAGAGGGCUUUGAUACCGGAAGUCAUCAUGGAGGGGGAUUCUCCUUCCAAACAAUAACCCCAACUCCCUCUCUCCUCCCUAUCUUCCAGAUGCCAUCACCAAUCUUCAAUAAAGGUAAGGAAAAAUGUUAUUUUAUAUUACUAUACAUAAUUAAAGACUAUAGCAUUUGUUGUGUGUAUGUAAAACUGGAAUUAAUCUCUAUAAUUUUUUUUUUUUUUUUUUUUGAAUAUUUUUGGGUUUCUGGAACGGAUUAAUUGUAUUUCCAUUAUUUCUUAUGGGAAAUAUUGCUUUGAAUUUCAGACUUUUAGAAUUUAGAACUAGCUCCUGGAACGGAUUAAGUUCGAAAUUUGAGGUUCCACUGUAUUUACCUUUGAAAAUUGGCAAAAUUCGAACAUUUCUGCUAAUUUGAGCUCAAUUUCAAGGUACUUUUCAUUGUGAAACCAAAUAAAUCAUCUCAAUUUCUGUAAUAUGUCUUCCAUUUUAUAAAAUGAGACUAGGAAAACUAGAAUACAACCAUAAAUAGCAUACAAAAAUGCGCUGCAAUGUUGCUGUUUUAAACCAAAAACACGGUGGGAGUUUUUUUUUCUCAUGCACUGUGUACUGCAAGAUUUUUUUUUAUACUGCACACACUGAUCACAUAGACCCAUUCUUUCAUAUGUAGGCAUAUCAGCUUUCUCUCGCUACAUUUGAAGGCGCUAGAAUUUAUGCAUACUAGUACGGCACCAACCCUGGCGUGUAAGCCGUACUAGUACGGCACCAACCCUGAAAGGGUUAAAUCUUGUAGAGAGUGAUUGGAAACUUAUCGAGCCAUAAGCUUUUUUGGCAUAAACAUGCUGUAUCUUCUAACCCCAAAAUUUCAAGAGCCAUUAAGCAGGUGUAGGAGAGUAUUGACUUUUCUCUCCUCCAUAAGUUAGCUGCCUUAUUAGUGCCUAGGAAACUAGGAGUGCAUAAUGAAGGGUAAUCCUACAAAAUACUAAUUAAGAUGAGGAACACGUGCGUAUUUCAGCAGAAUUCUUCCCCCGUGAACCAUGCGUGUUGUAAGAGGUGACUAAAAUGCUGGGAGCAAGGGGCUAGUAACCCCUUCUCCUGCAUAUGUUAUUAAAUUUAAAAGGAGAAACUUUCGUUUUUCGUUUUGGGCCACCCCAUCCCUGGUGGUAUACAGCCGGUUUGUUGAAAGAAAGAAAUACAAUAAAACAAUAGGGUAUGGCGAGUGUACCUGGAGAGGGUUUCGGGGAUCAGAGCAUGAUCAACCAGGCUGUUACUGUUGGCUACAUGUAAAUUGACAUACGAACCACAGCCCAGUUGGUCAGGUACUGACUUUAGGUGCCUGUCCAAUGCCUUCUUCAAGACAGCCAGGGGUCUAUUUGUAAUCCCCCUUAUGUAUGCUGGGAGGCAGUAUUCUCAUUUUCUGUGUGAUUUAUUUAUGCAUGUGUGCAUUAUGAUUACUGUACACAUUCAUAUGUUGCAAGACUUGCAUCCUACAGCACUUGCCUUUCUCUUACAGUGGAAAAACUGCAGUAGUCUUCCAUUUUCAUAACCCAGGAACCUCAUUAUACUCAUUGCUUUUAUCAGAACUAUUUGUAAACUGUUAAAACACUUGGCCAAUAAACAUUGUAUGGUACUUAGAAAUCCAAAACUUACUUUCCCUUCAUUAGUUUGGUUUUAGAAAGGGUCACUCCUCCAUUUACCUCCCAUACUGCAAUUUGAUACAUUCAGUUCAUCUGCACUGACAAAAGUUUGAUUAUUGCUGUCAUGUAUAGUUUAGAAAAAAUUUGUGACACUACCUGGCAUUUUGUCCCAAGCCCUUUCCUUAAGCCUGAGACUGAUUACCUCUUCCUCUCAAAGAGGCACUUAAGUGUUCCAGUAAAUAAUGGCUCUUUUUCCUGGUUUUGUGAAAGUAGAAGACAAGCUUGCAGAGUAAUGUCCUCAGUACUACCUUCUUCCUGAUAGCUGUUGGUGGAUUAAACUUAGUUCUUCCCAAAUGUAUCUGGUCAUUCUCGUAUAGAUGAUUUAGCCAUUGUUCAUGCAAACCCAAACUGUUGACAUACUUCAGCAUUCUAGAUCACAUGGCCAACUGGGCUACGUCACGUAGUUUAAAGCUCAUUGUGGCUAAAACAAACAUGAUAACUGCCUGUUUGAAUAAACCUAUAUGCCUUCCCUAUGGUUAAAUCUCUAGGCCCUAUCUUGGAUUGUUGAAUUCCAUGGCAAUCCCAAUUCUCCCUAACAACCACUUGUUUUACUUGGCUGAACAUACUUAAAACUGCCUUUUACUUAGGGGAACUGAUAAACAAACCCUUCUGACUUUGUAGAGCUCUAAUUCUGUCCAAGGUAGACUUCAGGGAUGAAGUGCAGUAUAUUCCUCAGGCUCCCCACCUAUUAAAUUCAGUGCCAUUCAUCAUCAGGGAUUGUGCUUGUCUAGGAACCCUUAGACCUUUCCUGGUAGAAAGCUUGUAUACAGAAGCAAACAUUCCUUUGUAGGCUUGACACGAUACUCAUUGCUGUUAUUUUAUUCUUUUGCAAGCCCUUCACAGUCCUCAUAUGUACAGAAUAAUAAAAGUUAAUAGGAUUAAUUAAUUUAAUUUUUGACCCUGUCUAUUACUGCCCUUUAAUCUCUUUACUCACUUUAGAUUCUCUCCAUAUCAUACUUUUUGUUUUCCUACCUUCCCUUGGGAAGGUCCAGCAGUUCACAUUUGCUCCUCUUUCUUCCUUCCAUGCCCAAAGACCAACAUAGCUGCUAAAAAAAUUGUGUCUCAGUUCUUUGAACAUCUUCAGUCACAUUCUCAUACUAUGAUGGUGUACACCAAUCGCUCUAACUCCUCAGUUGGAGUAGAAUAGAUGGCUGUUGUUACAUAAUGUAAUCAGGGCAUUUACCUUGGCUUCAGUAAGUUGUAGAUAUUUCACAAGUUAUGUGCAAUACUCUACUGUCAUACACAUUGAAACAGCAAUGAAUGAGGUGGAUAUGAAUGCAGACUCAGGGUGCAUUAAAGUUACCCAGAAAUGUAGCUUCCCAUAUCCUAUCUACCUUACAUACAACAGUUAUGUUGAAUUUCUAACAAGCACAAUGUAGUAGGUUUUUGUUAGGUCUCUGGACAGACAUUCAGGAUAGUAUGCAGACUCAGCCACUCAGUCUGUUAUUCAUAAUCAGUCAAUUCCCCACAGGAGUCCCUCUUCAGACUAUUUUCCAGUAUUGUCCCAAAGACUGCAACCAAUUGUAACAGUAUUGGUUUCAAUUAAAAGACAAAUUGUUUUCCAUCGAACCACUGUUAGACUUUUGGCCAUCUUCCCAUUGCUGUUGAGCGUGAGAAACUGCUCUCACACAUUUAUGUAUCGCCUACAUAAGACACUAGCACGGUUACCACAUGAAAAGAUGCCCAGUGCCUGUUUGCGAGAAUUGCCAAGUAACUAACAUUAACAAUCCACUAUAUGCUAAUAGGUUGUGUGGCUUAGCGCUUUUUUUUUAUUAUAAUAAUAAUAAACUAAUAGGUUGUCCUAUCUAUCAGAAAAUGCAGAAUUUUAAGUUUUGACAUCUUUGGCACCUCGAUGCAUGCACUCUUGACUGCGUUUCUCACCAGGUCUCAUCUCUGAUAUACAUUGCCUCUUAUGAUUUUUUAAGAAACUAACCUAUUGCACCAACUAUGAUAAUUUUACACUAACCCUCAACUCCAUUAACUUCUUCCCUAAAAGCUUAACCACCUCUGCACUGCAUGAUUUGCAUGGGUUUGGCACUUUUCACUUUUUUUUUUAAAUAUAGCAUGAUGAAUAAUACAGUAGGUUAAAUAAAGUUAAGAAAGUUUGUACCUAUCCCAACAUUUAUUAUGAAAGUUCAUUACACACAAAGAGGCACAUCUGAGAAACAUUCUGCACUUUGUACAUAUAUAGCACCCGAAUUUCAGUUUAAAUUUUAAAAUUUAUAUAAAAUACUGUAUACGAUAUUCUGUAUUAAUACAGAAAUAGACAAAAAUUAUUUGCAUAUGUACAGAGUAAGGGACUAGUAGAGAUAUUUCAUGUGUUGCACUUCGUAGUUACUUACCAUUUUUAAUCUACAAAAAAAAAAAUGGCACAAUUCAUUUACAUUUUAUUAAAGACAUUGCUAAAUGUGCACAAUUUUAUAAACAUCUUGGGGAGAGAGAA